rnacentral:rRNA from 1 species
CAGUAGCCGCGGUAAUACGUAGGGUGCGAGCGUUAAUCGGAAUUACUGGGCGUAAAGCGUGCGCAGGCGGUUUUGUAAGACAGGCGUGAAAUCCCCGGGCUCAACCUGGGAAUGGCGCUUGUGACUGCAAAGCUAGAGUGCGGCAGAGGGGGAUGGAAUUCCGCGUGUAGCAGUGAAAUGCGUAGAUAUGCGGAGGAACACCGAUGGCGAAGGCAAUCCCCUGGGCCUGCACUGACGCUCAUGCACGAAAGCGUGGGGAGCAAACAGAAUUAGAUACCCCUGUAGUCCCUGUCUCUUAUAC